UGCCGAGGUAGUCUAGUCCGGAAAGGCGGCAGCCUCGAAAGCUGCUGGCGCCCAGCGCCUCGGGAGUUCAAAUCUCCUCCUCGGCGU
rnacentral:tRNA from 2 species